rnacentral:lncRNA from 1 species
CGAUAAUUUUUUUUGUCGUUAAAAUCGAUUUUUUAUAAAUCGAUUUAUUGAUGAUUAGUCACACAUGCAUGUAGGCAAAAGACACAUAAGAGUGAUGUUUUAGCCACACAUAUAAUAGAUGUAGGCAAAAUGUAUUACAUAAACAUAACUUAAGAAAUUAAAUCGAGGAAAAUUAGAGGCACAGUCGAUAGAAGUGUUUUAUUAAUUUAUUUAUUUAUUAGCGAGAGAGAGGUAUAUAUAUAUAUAUAUAUAUAUAUAUAUAUAUAUAUAUAUAUAUAUAUAUAGGUGAUUCAAGUACUGAUCGAUCAUCAUGUGAAUUAGAGUACGUAAUGAUUAGGGUGAUUUUGGCGGACAAUUCCAGCGGCAAUAGCAUUUUUGUAAUAAGCCGACGCAAUGACCAUCAAAAGAUCCAUCUUCUGCGCAAAGUUCCUUGCACUUUCUAUCAUCAGUGCAUAAUCCUUCGAAAUUUCUGUUCUCAUACUCGCAUACCCUCCCCGCCACCAUGCUCUUCUC